rnacentral:rRNA from 1 species
CCUACGGGUGGCAGCAGUUAGGAAUCUUGCGCAAUGGGCGAAAGCCUGACGCAGCGACGCCGCGUGAGGGAUGAAGGCCUUCGGGUUGUAAACCUCUUUUAACAGGGACGAAAAAAAUGACGGUACCUGUAGAAUAAGCACCGGCAAACUCCGUGCCAGCAGCCGCGGUAAUACGGAGGGUGCAAGCGUUACUCGGAAUUACUGGGCGUAAAGCGUAUGUAGGUGGUUUUAUAAGUCUGGUGUGAAAUCCCGGGGCUCAACUCCGGAAGUGCAUUGGAUACUGUAAGACUAGAGUAUGGGAGAGGAGAGUGGAAUUCCAGGUGUAGAGGUGAAAUUCGUAGAUAUCUGGAAGAACACCAGUGGCGAAGGCGGCUCUCUGGACCAUAACUGACACUGAGAUACGAAAGCGUGGGGAGCAAACAGGAUUAGAUACCCCUGUAGUC